rnacentral:lncRNA from 1 species
UUGGUGAGACUCAGGUUGCGAGUGUUUUGCCUCUUGCCCAAGCUCCAAUUUUGACUAUUGGUCAAAUUCGGUUGAUUUUGACUUUUGGUCAAACUCUGGGUGUUUUGACUUUUGGUCAAAGUUGGGUUUAUGUCCUUCUUAUCUUCCCCCACCCAUGUGCAAGCAUUUUUUAUUACAAUUUGUAUUUUUAUUUUUGUUUUUAUCCCCACCUCAAUCUUACCCACGGGCAUUUCUCUCCUACCCUCCCUUUUCACCCACAUGGGUAUUAUCCCUCUAAUUUUAUUAUUAUAGAGUUUAUUUUUC